UUCUAACUUUUUGGCUGCAGAAUUUGUGGGUGUAAAUAUUUGAAUGCAUCAUCUAUGUGUAAGGUCGUUUUUUAUCUUGUAGUUUCUCAUGCGGUUCGAAUUUUUGAUGUAUUUUACGCUUGUAGUUUUAUCAUCUCUGCCCUGCCUUGACCAGGUCUGCUUCGAAAGUUGUGCCUGAAGUGUUUAUGAAAAAAUGAUUGUUGCUUUCGGCGUGGUGGAGAAUAAUCUUUUCGGGCGCGUAAUGAUGAAAGCUAAGCCUUUACGAAAUGACAUUAAUUUUUUUUUUUAAAUAAAAAAACACAAAACUAAAGGGCCUUGGAGAAUCAAGGUGGGAUGCAGAGACAAUUUCUUGUUCACCACAACAGUGACUCUCCAGGCCUUUAAAGCUCUGUUUUGCUGAGCUGUGGGAUUGCCUUUCUUGGUUGUAUUUAAUUCCUUUUUAUCUGGGUUAUUGGUUCACUCUUCUUGGCCUUGGUUUUUUGGGGCUGGGGCUGGGGAACAUAUUGAUUGAUCGGCAGAGCUUCUGUUGUGUUUGGUUGGGCUUGGAACAGAGUUUGUUUUUUCUUCAACUUUUGUGGUUUUGCUGCAGGAUAUUGUUUCGGCUGCCAUUUUUUCUGUCAUAGGAAUUGCAGUUGUUGCCGUGCUUUUGUCAGUAGAGUUUCAUGCUGCCUAUAACUUUCAUCCUUAAAUCAAGGCACCCGUGUGUUGGGUAGUAGCUGCCUAAAAUCCUGAAAACCAUUCUCUUGGCUGCUGCUUUGUCAAUGAAGCGUUAUACUGUGACAAGGAAAAGUUGCAGUGUUGUUCAUUGUCCAGCUCAGCCUACGGGACCUGUGCUGCUUGUUGGCUUUGGACCGUCCUUUCAAGCUUCCAGAGUUGUUUGUGGUCCAGCUCAGCCUACAGACCUGUUCUGUUGUUGGCUUUAGCAUGCCCUUUCAAGCUCAGGAAGGAAGUUUGAGGGUGCCUAAGUUAUAUUUGAACUUUCCUUUCUUUGUUGGUGUUCUUAGAAGGAUUGUCAUUAUUGUUUGAAUGGGGUGUUUUGAACUAUUUGUACUGCAGCUUAUAAAUGAAGUUACUUCUUCUUCUUUUCUGCUUGAUUGACUUAAAUUUCA